UUGAACCCAAAUGCAAAUUAUAUGAUCUAUACCUCGAUCUCCGGUACGUAGUCUCUGAUCAUUACAGUAGCGGAUAUAUAUAGACCAGCGACGCGCCCACCACCGUGCUCACGUACGGGGAGCUAGCUAGAUUUCUAUGUAUACGUAUACGUAUACGAAUAUCUGCUAGCUCUACGUACGUACGCAGGUGUUGGCGCGUGAUAUCUCCUUGAUGAUGUGUCUAGUUGUGGUGCUGCGGGUCCGGGCCGCCCGGCACCUCCCGCUUGUGAGCGGCGUCGCCUCCUGCUCCUCCUCCUUGCUGCAGGCUCCUCCUCACGUGGUUCCACCUUCCCCGAGUAAUGCCAUUGCCACCCCCGGCGCUGCCCGCAUUGGUGUUCGGGGCAGCGUAGAGGUGAUCUGCCUGCACGGCGCGAGCUUCGGCCGGCGUGGCUACGAGCUCCGUGCCGACGAUCAACACCAGGCAGAGGAGCACAACAACGGCGCCGGUGCGAACGGCCAUUGAGCUAGCUAGACGUUGAGAGACAAGGGUAGAGCCAAUUGAGAGGAUCAAGA
rnacentral:lncRNA from 1 species